AAGAAGGAAAUGACAGGCGCAGUCAGUCACUCCCAACGUCCCAUCCCUCAUCUGAGACCCGUGGGAAUAAAACGGGUGAGAGUGGGUGUUUGAGGAAGGAAGAAGGACUAAAACUUGUCGAAAGGAGAAGGCACCGGAGGUAGGAGACUGAAACCCACGCUCGCCGGAGAAACUUGAGCGCUAGAUCCACGGGUGUUCGGCGGUCGACUUUGGAUGGAUACAAACCGAAGAGGGAAGUCGAACGAAGGGAGAACGCCAAGUUGCUAUGUGUUUGCGGGAGGACGAUCCACGAGAUUUGAGGAGGAUUGUGGGCGUCGGAAACGAAUCAGAGGGCGAGGCGACGAAGAGCAUGGGGUGAGU